UGCCCAUGAAUGUAUUGCUUAGGCCAUAAUGCUAGGAAGCCCAUCUUUUAAUUAAAUAGCAGAAACCAAUAUUUUGAAUUGCAGUGUUAGUGUUGCUGCGUUUUUUUUCCUUUUCUUUUCAUUCUUUUUCUUUUCCCUAUUUAUAAAACCUAUUUAUGAAACAUCUUAACCCUAGCCGACUAUCACCUCAAAAUCACCCAAACCCUUACUCUCAUGAAUCUUCUUCUCAUUCUAUGCAGAUUUGCAUCUUGGGAGUUCGUCCUCAUUCUCAAUCUAUUCAAAUAAAUCUCUGGAUCCGGCAAGGCGCAAUCAUUCAUCGUUCACGAAUUGGAGUCGAACCAGGGUUAGCUGUUUGCCAAGAUUCACGUGGAUAAGCAAGCAGUGAGUUUGUAGUGCUAUUUACCGCUUUAUUAAGUAAAUUGUUAUUUUAAUAUUAAAUAUAUAUACUGUACGUAUAUUUCGAACUGUUUUUAUAUUAUGGCUCUUAGUUGGAACGUGCUACCUAAUGGGCAUCAUUAGGACUGCGAGCGCACCGGUAUUGAUCUGGGUAAGGUAUAUAUGGAAAUGUGGUAACUCGGUGUGAGCAUAGCUCUCGGGACCAGGUAGAGUAACUCGGUGUAGCUCAGCUCUCGGGACUCUGGUAUAAGUGUGGUCAGUGGUAACUCGGUGUAGCUCAGCUCUCGGGACUAGACCUAUUGGAUUAUGAAUAUUAUUUAGAAUUGUGGAUUAGGGUUCCAACUAUUAUCUGUAAUAUUGUUAUUAAAUGUUUUAAACGUUUUAAAGGUUUUCCACUUAAUAAAUGUAAAUAGUGGUAUGAACUCAUCUCAGUAUAUCUGACCCCGUUGUUUUCCCAAUUUUUCCCAGGGUUAUGAUCUGAGAGAGUCUGGUGAUCUCCGCAUUUACUUUUCCUCGGAGGUUCCAUUUAUUUUGAUAAACUGUCAAACUAUUUUAUUCUUAGACCGCAGUAGUUGACUAGACGUCUUAUUAUUAUUACAGUUGUUUGUCGGAUUGAUCUGACUAGUUAUAUUGCUCUGGCAUGUUAUGUAGUUAUUUCGGAUUAUUUAUGUUAUGCCUAUUUUUA